rnacentral:lncRNA from 1 species
GCUUAGAGUAUUUGGUGUUUUGACACCGGUUGGGAAAGAGUGAAGUGAGCUUUGAGAGUUCAUGUUGUAAGAAAAAGAAAGGAAAAGAAAAGAUUGAAGGAAAGGGUAGCUAGUCCUCUUCAUCCUAGUUCUCUCCCUCUCUCUCGGCCACCUGUUGCAUCCCUGCGAGCUAGCACUCCCCGGGACGCCGGUUGAUCCAGAGGCCUCGCGUGGAUUACUUGUAGAGGCCGGACGUUUGUGCGGUUGCGGAGCAGCAAGCUAAAACCAACCUGCUGAAAGGUUAGUGUUCUGUUUUCAGUUUUUGGAGUUGAAAUUUGAUCUCAAUUCAAGAACACAUACGAUGUGAUCCAUGCAUGAAUAUUUCUAUCACAUAUCCUGUGGAUUCAUCUGGAAAUUUUGUAGGAUUAGAUCAGAUCCAAAGUUUGCAAUAGCCUGUUUUGAACAGCCCUGUUUUAUUCCGCUAUAAAUUAUUUUCAAAUUGCAUACUUUCAUCUUAAUCGGUGAAUCCUCGGCGCAUACAAUGCUCGAAUUCCCUUCACGGUUGAUGAAAAGAAUGAAAUGCACAAAACAAACAAUUAGGGUAUCAUAAAUACAAAGAAUUUAUAAUGGUUUAGUUCCUAACCUAGCACCUACAUCCACUUCCCAAGCUUCCUCCUUAAAAAUUUUCAUCCACUAAUCAACCACAAAUGAUUACAAAUGUCGGAUACCACCAACCAAGAACCCUUGCUUAACCCAAACUUGUCAAUCAUUUUCAAGGCUCGAGCAAGAUACUUCGUUUCAAGGUACGGAUCACACCUAAAACUUGUUACCCACAAAUAUAAAGUGAAACAAUGAUUGAAUAAUAAGUAUAAUAAAUUCUCAUUAAUAGGAAGAAAUAAAACCAAUAAAGCCCUUUUUGAUUUGCUGAGAGAUGUUGUCUUUUAUAUGCACUUCAAAUAGAGAUCUUCAAUAGUCUUGAAGUGGUGGUUGUACUUGUAUUGAAUGCUUUUCAAUGAAUGAGGCCAUUUUUCUUUCAGUAUACUGAAUCUCUUAAUACUUGGCUUUUUUUUUAGCUUUUGGAGGCCCUUUUAUAAAGAAGAGAUGCUAAAGAAAAGACCAUUGGAGAGUAGCUGGAAUCCAUUUAAUGUCAUCUGUUCACACUGAAAAACUAGCUAUUAUAGGCUUGACGGAAUAGAGGAGUCGACCCUAGGGUCGACUCUUGAAGGAACCAAAAAUUUAUCUCUCCGUCUUUUGCCUAUGGCACAUCAAGGGUGUUGACCCUAAAGGUUUGAUUUUGAUAAUGCAAAAUAUUUAAG